GAGCGGCAGAGCGAGGGGCGAGACCCCGCCAUGGGGGGUUGGGGGAGAGCGAGGGGCGAGACCCCGCCAUAGGGGGGUUGGGGGGGGAGCGGCAGAGCGAGGGGCGAGACCCCGCCAUGGGGGGGUUGGUGGGGGGAGCGGCAGAGCGAGGGGCGCAGCUGGCCCAGGGUGCGACCCCGCCAUGGGGGGUUGGGAGGGGAGCGGCAGAGCGAGGGGCGCAGCCGGCCCGGGGCGAGACCCCGCCAUGGGGGGUUUGGGGGGGGAGCGGCAGAGCGAGGGGCGCAGCUGGCCUGGGGCGAGACCCCGUCAUGCGGCGGGGGGAGGGGCAGCAGAGGGAGGGGUGCAAGUAUGUUGCUUUGAGAUAACUUGACCUGUGGGGAAUGCAGAAAGUAGGCCUUACAGGCCACUGCUGUCCUGACCAGGACACUGGGACUGGAACAGGAGGCCCAUUUCCAUCUUUGGGGUUUCCUUCCACUGCCAUACUCAGGCAGGGCUUUCUGUAGGCCCAAGGUCCAGGCCAUUGCUCCUGCCGGACCCUUUCCUUUGCUGUAGCUGGGGAGGUGUAAGCGGGUGGUGCAGGCAGCAAUGGAGCAAUGUGGCAGACAGAAGGACAUGGCUGCUGGUGAUAGAAUGGAAGGAGCCACUCUCCCACAGCCUUGGUCCACACUAGGAGUUGAGGUCAAAUUUAGCAGCCUUAAAUCGAUUUAACCCUGCACCUGUCCACACAAUGAAGCCCUUUUUUUCGACUUAAAGGGCUCUUAAAAUCGAUUUCCUUACUCCACCCCCGACAAGGGGAUUAGCGCUGAAAUCGGCCUUGCCGGGUUGAAUUUGGGGUAUUGUGGACGCAAUUAGACGGUAUUGACCUCCAGGAGCUAUCCCAGAGUGCUCCAUUGUGACCGCUCUGGACAGCACUCUCAACACAGAUGCACUGGCCAGGUAGACAGGAAAAGGACCGCGAACUUUUGAAUUUCAAUUUCCUGUUUGGCCAGCAUGGCAAGCUGCAGGUGAGUGCGGAGCUCAUCAGCAGAGGUGACCAUGAUGGAGUCCCAGAAUCGCAAAAGAGCUCCAGCAUGGACUGAACGGGAGGUACGGGAUCUGAUCGCUGUAUGGGGAGAGGAAUCCGUGUUAUUAGAACUCCGUUCCAGUUUUCGAAAUGCCAAAACAUUUGUCAAAAUCUCCCAGGGCAUGAAGGACAGAGGCCAUAACAGGGACCCGAAGCAGUGCCGCGUGAAACUGAAGGAGCUGAGGCAAGCCUAACAGAAAACCAGAGAGUCAAACGGCUGCUCCGGGUCAGAGCCCCAAACAUGCUGCUUCUAUGAUGAGCUGCAUGCCAUUUUAGGGGGUUCAGCCACCACUACCCCAGCUGUGUUGUUUGAUUCCUUCAAUGGAGAUUGAGGCAACACGGAAGCAGGUUUUGGGGACAAGGAAGAUAGCUCACAGCAAGCACGCGGAGAAACCAGUUUUCCCGACAGCCAGGAACUGUUUCUCACCCUGGACCUGGAGCCAGUACCCCCCGAACCCACCCAAGGCUGCCUCCCGGACCUGCCAGGCAGAGAAGGGACCUCUGCUGCAUGUGUUUCAAGGAUCACAGGAUCUUCUCCUUCCCAGAGGCUGGUGAAGAUAAGAAGGUGAAAAAAAUGCACUUGCGAUGAAAUGUUCUCUGAGCUCAUGCUGUCCUCCCACACUGACAGAGCACAGACGAAUGCGUGGAGGCAGACAAUGUCAGAGUGCAGGAAAGCACAAAAUGACUGGGAGGAGAGGUGGCGGGCUGAAGAGAGUAAGUGGCAGGCUGAAGCUAAAAGGUGGCUGCAGUGUGAUGAGAGGAGGCAGGAUUCAAUGCUGAGGCUGCUGGAGGAUCAAACUAAUAUGCUCCAGCGUAUGGCUGAGCUGCAGGAAAGGCAGCAGGAGCACAGACUGCUGCUACAGCCCCUGUGUAACCAACCACCCUGCUCCCCAAGUUCCAUAGCCUCCUCACCUAGACGCCCAAGAACGCGGUGGGGGGGGCCUCUGGCCACCCAGCCACUCCACCCCAGAGGAUUGCCCAAGCAACAGAAGGCUGGCAUUCAAUAAGUUUUAAACUUUUAAAGUGCUGUGUGGCCUUGUCCUUCCCUCCUCCGCCACUCCUCCCGGGCUACCUUGGCAGUUAUCCCCCUAUUUGUGUGAUGAAUUAAUAAAGAAUGCAUGAA